rnacentral:rRNA from 1 species
UACAGAGGGUGCAAGCGUUAAUCGGCCUUACUGGGCGUAAAGCGUGCGUAGUCGGUUAUCUAAGUCAGGUGUGAAAUCCCCGGGCUCAACCUGGGAAUUGCAUUUGAUACUGGAUAGCUAGAGUUCGGCAGAGGGAAGUGGAAUUUCUGGUGUAGCGGUGAAAUGCGUAGAUAUCAGAAGGAACAUCAGUGGCGAAAGCGACUUCCUGGACCAGAACUGACGAUCAGGCACGAAAGCGUGGGGAGCAAACAGG